rnacentral:rRNA from 1 species
UCGGGAAUUUUGGGCAAUGGGCGAAAGCCUGACCCAGCAACGCUGCGUGAGGGAUGAAGUAUUUCGGUAUGUAAACCUCGAAAGAAUGGGAAGAAUAAAUGACGGUACCAUUUAUAAGCUCCGGCUAACUACGUGCCAGCAGCCGCGGUAAUACGUAGGGAGCAAGCGUUGUUCGGAUUUACUGGGCGUAAAGGGCGCGUAGGCGGCGCGGUAAGUCACUUGUGAAAUCUCUGAGCUUAACUCAGAACGGCCAAGUGAUACUGCUGUGCUAGAGUGCGGAAGAGGCAACCGGAACUCUUGGUGUAGCGGUGAAAUGCGUAGAUAUCAAGAGGAACACCUGAGGCGAAGGCGGGUUGCUGGGCCGACACUGACGCUGAUGCGCGAAAGCCAGGGGAGCAAACG